rnacentral:rRNA from 1 species
AGCGAACGUUAGCGGCAGGCCUAACACAUGCAAGUCGAGCGAGAACGGUUCCUUCGGGGACUUAGUAAAGCGGCGGACGGGUGAGUAACACGUGGGUAAUCUGCCCUUCGGCAGGGGACAACCACUCGAAAGGGUGGCUAAUACCGUAUAAGUCGGCGAGGUCUGCGGGCCUUGUUGGAAAGCUAGCUUCGGCUGGCACCGAAGGAGGAGCCCGCGUCGCAUCAGCUAGUUGGUGGGGUAACGGCCCACCAAGGCGAAGACGCGUAGCUGGUCUGAGAGGAUGAUCAGCCACACUGGGACUGAGACACGGCCCAGACUCCUACGGGAGGCAGCAGUGGGGAAUAUUGGACAAUGGGCGCAAGCCUGAUCCAGCCAUGCCGCGUGAGUGAUGAAGGCCCUCGGGUCGUAAAGCUCUGUGGGGAGCCACGAACUCCCGCCGGUUAAUAGCCGGCGGGUUGACGGGUAGCUCCUUAGCAAGCACCGGCUAACUCCGUGCCAGCAGCCG